rnacentral:rRNA from 1 species
CGCUGGCGGCGUGCUUAACACAUGCAAGUCGAACGGAAAGGCCCUGCUUUUGUGGGGUGCUCGAGUGGCGAACGGGUGAGUAACACGUGAGUAACCUGCCCUUGACUUUGGGAUAACUUCAGGAAACUGGGGCUAAUACCGGAUAGGAGCUCCUGCUGCAUGGUGGGGGUUGGAAAGUUUCGGCGGUUGGGGAUGGACUCGCGGCUUAUCAGCUUGUUGGUGGGGUAGUGGCUUACCAAGGCUUUGACGGGUAGCCGGCCUGAGAGGGUGACCGGCCACAUUGGGACUGAGAUACGGCCCAGACUCCUACGGGAGGCAGCAGUGGGGAAUAUUGCACAAUGGGCGGAAGCCUGAUGCAGCAACGCCGCGUGCGGGAUGACGGCCUUCGGGUUGUAAACCGCUUUCGCCUGUGACGAAGCGUGAGUGACGGUAAUGGGUAAAGAAGCACCGGCUAACUACGUGCCAGCAGCCGCGGUGAUACGUAGGGUGCGAGCGUUGUCCGGAUUUAUUGGGCGUAAAGGGCUCGUAGGUGGUUGAUCGCGUCGGAAGUGUAAUCUUGGGGCUUAACCCUGAGCGUGCUUUCGAUACGGGUUGACUUGAGGAAGGUAGGGGAGAAUGGAAUUCCUGGUGGAGCGGUGGAAUGCGCAGAUAUCAGGAGGAACACCAGUGGCGAAGGCGGUUCUCUGGGCCUUUCCUGACGCUGAGGAGCGAAAGCGUGGGGAGCGAACAGGCUUAGAUACCCUGGUAGUCCACGCUGUAAACGGUGGGUACUAGGUGUGGGGUCCAUUCCACGGGGUUCCGUGCCGUAGCUAACGCUUUAAGUACCCCGCCUGGGGAGUACGGCCGCAAGGCUAAAACUCAAAGGAAUUGACGGGGCCCCGCACAAGCGGCGGAGCAUGCGGAUUAAUUCGAUGCAACGCGUAGAACCUUACCUGGGUUUGACAUGGAUCGGGAGUGCUCAGAGAUGGGUGUGCCUCUUUUGGGGUCGGUUCACAGGUGGUGCAUGGCUGUCGUCAGCUCGUGUCGUGAGAUGUUGGGUUAAGUCCCGCAACGAGCGCAACCCUUGUUCACUGUUGCCAGCACGUUAUGGUGGGGACUCAGUGGAGACCGCCGGGGUCAACUCGGAGGAAGGUGGGGAUGACGUCAAGUCAUCAUGCCCCUUAUGUCCAGGGCUUCACGCAUGCUACAAUGGCUGGUACAGAGAGUGGCGAGCCUGUGAGGGUGAGCGAAUCUCGGAAAGCCGGUCUCAGUUCGGAUUGGGGUCUGCAACUCGACCUCAUGAAGUCGGAGUCGCUAGUAAUCGCAGAUCAGCAACGCUGCGGUGAAUACGUUCCCGGGGCUUGUACACACCGCCCGUCAAGUCAUGAAAGUUGGUAACACCCGAAGCCGGUGGCCUAACCGUUGUGGGGGAGCCGUCGAAGGUGGGACUGGUGAUUAGGACUAAG